CUCGUAGGCGGUUCGGUAAGUCGGGUGUGAAAACUCAGGGCUCAACCCUGAGACGCCACCCGAUACUGCUGUGACUCGAGUCCGGUAGGGGAGCAUGGAAUUCCUGGUGUAGCGGUGAAAUGCGCAGAUAUCAGGAGGAACACCAGUGGCGAAGGCGGUGCUCUGGGCCGGAACUGACGCUGAGGAGCGAAAGCGUGGGUAGCAAACA
rnacentral:rRNA from 1 species